rnacentral:rRNA from 1 species
CUACGGGAGGCAGCAGUGAGGAAUAUUGCGCAAUGGGCGAAAGCCUGACGCAGCGACGCCGCGUGAGGGACGAAGGUCUUCGGAUUGUAAACCUCUUUCAGCAGGGACGAAGCGAAAGUGACUGUACCUGCAGAAGAAGCACCGGCUAACUACGUGCCAGCAGCCGCGGUAAUACGUAGGGUGCAAGCGUUGUCCGGAUUUAUUGGGCGUAAAGAGCUCGUAGGCGGUCUGUCGCGUCGGAUGUGAAAACCCAAUGGCUUAACCUUGGGCCUGCAUUCGAUACGGGCAGACUAGAGUGUGGUAGGGGAAACUGGAACUCCUGGUGUAGCGGUGGAAUGCGCAGAUAUCAGGAAGAACACCGAUGGCGAAGGCAGGUUUCUGGGCCAUAACUGACACUGAGGGACGAAAGCGUGGGUAGCGAACAGGAUUAGAAACCCGGGUAGUCC